rnacentral:rRNA from 1 species
AGGAUGAACGCUGGCGGCGUGCUUAACACAUGCAAGUCGAACGGUGAACACGGAGCUUGCUCUGUGGGAUCAGUGGCGAACGGGUGAGUAACACGUGAGCAACCUGCCCCUGACUCUGGGAUAAGCGCUGGAAACGGCGUCUAAUACUGGAUAUGUGACGUGACCGCAUGGUCUGCGUCUGGAAAGAAUUUCGGUUGGGGAUGGGCUCGCGGCCUAUCAGCUUGUUGGUGAGGUAAUGGCUCACCAAGGCGUCGACGGGUAGCCGGCCUGAGAGGGUGACCGGCCACACUGGGACUGAGACACGGCCCAGACUCCUACGGGAGGCAGCAGUGGGGAAUAUUGCACAAUGGGCGCAAGCCUGAUGCAGCAACGCCGCGUGAGGGACGACGGCCUUCGGGUUGUAAACCUCUUUUAGCAGGGAAGAAGCGAAAGUGACGGUACCUGCAGAAAAAGCGCCGGCUAACUACGUGCCAGCAGCCGCGGUAAUACGUAGGGCGCAAGCGUUAUCCGGAAUUAUUGGGCGUAAAGAGCUCGUAGGCGGUUUGUCGCGUCUGCUGUGAAAUCCGGAGGCUCAACCUCCGGCCUGCAGUGGGUACGGGCAGACUAGAGUGCGGUAGGGGAGAUUGGAAUUCCUGGUGUAGCGGUGGAAUGCGCAGAUAUCAGGAGGAACACCGAUGGCGAAGGCAGAUCUCUGGGCCGUAACUGACGCUGAGGAGCGAAAGGGUGGGGAGCAAACAGGCUUAGAUACCCUGGUAGUCCACCCCGUAAACGUUGGGAACUAGUUGUGGGGUCCAUUCCACGGAUUCCGUGACGCAGCUAACGCAUUAAGUCCCCGC